AGAAAAGGGAAAUUGAGAUUUUAAGCUUCAAGUUAAUUGCUAACAAAGAACUCGAGGCAUCGGCACACAAAGGAAAGGAGAAGGUUAUUGAGGAAUAAUCGAGCAAAAUUCGGGUUGAAAAGGGGUCAGAGUCUCGGUUUAGCAUCCAAGUCAAUCCCGACUCCGGCAUAAAGAUUUUGGUGAUGUUUUCUUCCUUUAAGAGAAAGUGGCAUGUACAUAGGAAUUAUAAUAGUUAUUUUAGUAUGUUAUAUAGUUUUGUUGUAAAGUAAGAUAUUAUGUGUUUUGAUGAUUAUGUUAGUAAAUUGGUAGAAGUUCUUAUGACAUUGGUAUUAAAUUGAAAUGGCUUGAUUA